rnacentral:rRNA from 1 species
AUUGAACGCUGGCGGCAGGCUUAACACAUGCAAGUCGAGCGGUAACAGAGAGAAGCUUGCUUCUCUGCUGACGAGCGGCGGACGGGUGAGUAAUGCCUAGGAAUCUGCCUAGUAGUGAGGGAUAACUUGCCGAAAGGUAAGCUAAUACCGCAUACGUCCUACGGGAGAAAGGAGGGGACCUUCGGGCCUUUCGCUAUCAGAUGAGCCUAGGUCGGAUUAGUUAGUUGGUGAGGUAAUGGCUCACCAAGACCGCGAUCCGUAACUGGUCUGAGAGGAUGAUCAGUCACACUGGAACUGAGACACGGUCCAGACUCCUACGGGAGGCAGCAGUGGGGAAUAUUGGACAAUGGGGGGAACCCUGAUCCAGCCAUGCCGCGUGUGUGAAGAAGGUCUUAGGAUUGUAAAGCACUUUAAGUUGGGAGGAAGAGCAGUUAACUAAUAUUUGACUGUUUUGACGUUACCGACAGAAUAAGCACCGGCUAACUUCGUGCCAGCCGCCGCAGUAA